rnacentral:sRNA from 1 species
AUCUAAACCCGACAGAAACAAAAAGCCCGCAACCCAAUUUUUCAUUGGGUGCGGACUUGAAGUGUAUGGCGGGACCAACC